CCGCCUAGCCAGCCGCCGUGGAGAGAGGUGGGGGAGGGACCUCAGCAGAGCUCGUCGUGGUUCUCCAGCGAGCGGUAGGAUUGAGGCAGAAAAAGCUGGUCCUUGUCUCAUGGAAAGCACUAAAUUCAAGGUUUCUGACUGCAUUUUGUGAGUUGAAGACAUUUAACGGAGGAAUUCUCUUGUGUAAUAGAGAUACCUGAAUGUUGAGACAACAGUGCCAACGCUUACUGCAUGUUUACCUUGUCCAAGGCACUGUCCUAAGCGCUUUUCGUGAAGUGUUUAACUCAGUAGCUUUGUCAACCGCGUACAAUCAGUUCUGUUAGUGCCAUUCCUGUUGAAGGCGCUGGAGGCGGGAGGCUACAUUUGCAGAGCACAUGGUUCUUGCCAUUGUUCAGUGUUCGCUUCAGGGGGUCUUCAGCCUAGCUCACCAAUACAGAGAAAACUGAUACCCGGAGAAGGAAAUUAGGUACUGCAGUUCCCACAACAAGACCAGGACACCCCUUUCCUAUGUCUCAGAAAGUCUGAGAUCUACCCCCUGCAAAGAGAAAAGAUGGCACCGUGGGGCGGUGUCUUCUGGCCUCCCUCGAAUUUUGUCUCUCAGUUAAAGGGCCAGGAAUUCAGUGACUGAUAACAUGAUGUGACCGGAAAUGGAAGACUGAGCACUCCAGAAGGUGUCUCAAGCUAGCCAAAAGAGGUGAACACAAGCGAGACACCAGAAAGUUGGAAAGCAGGAUCCUUCCUGGGCACAAGGCUAUGCUGAGCAUAUUCCGAGUGUCCUGACUGAGGAUGUCCAGAUAUCUCCUCUUCCCACGGUCCAGCUACUCAAUUCCACCUGAAGACGACCUUUAGAAUGGCCUCCUGAUCCCCUCAGCUGCUAAUAGCUCAGCCUGUGUCCUUCAUUCACCUGAGGCUCCUCCAUCUUUCAGCACACCUUCUGCUGAUGGGGGACUUUCCUUCUCCGGCCUCUCCCCUUCCUAGACUGUGGAAACGCUUCUUGGGGCUGCACCUUACCUCUUUGGCUCUCUGUCCUUUCUACUUGGCCCAUGGAUUCCAGGAACACAGAUGUUAAGAGGCCCAGUCUCCAGGAUGCACAGAGGCCACUGGGAAAUAAAUGAGAUUGGAGAAGAAUCUAUAAAGAGGGAAGGUGAUGCUUCCAGAAUUCUGACUCUUCAGAGGAGUCAUGGGUUGAACCAUGUCCUCUAAGAAGGUCAGUUGCGGUCAUAACCCUAACCUGCAAUGUGACUUUGUAUAGAUAUAAUGAGUUAAGUUGAGGACAUCCUGGAAAAGGGUGGAUCCCUUACCCAAUAUGGUACCCUUCUAGACAGACGUGUUUAGAUUGAGACAUGAAAAAUGCCCUGAGACCAUGAAGAAAGAGGCCGGAAUACAACAGCUGCAAGCCACAGAAUGCACAUGACUGCCAGCAAAUGCUGGAAACCAGGAAGAAGCAAGAACGACCCUCUCCCACUGGCUGUAGAAAAAGUCUGGCCCUCCAGACACCUGAGUUUGGAUGGAUUUCUCCAGAAUCAUGAGACAAUACAUUGCUGUUGUUGUAAUGCAGCUGGCCUGUUGUCCUUUCUUAUGACAGGCAUAGGGAAUGACUCUGGGAGGGAAGAGGACACAAAGCUGUUUCUGACAAGCACCCCUGCCAUUGCCAGCCUGCCUGGAGCUGAAUCCCUGCAGAAGACCCUUCCUUCUCCUAGGGAAGCACACACAAGGUCUAAUGUCUCCAGCCUUUGCCUUGUUGACCUAACUUUCUAACCCAUUUCCGGAAUCCUGCAGAUCUGGGCCUUUUGCCCUCUAAAUUAAAAGUCUGGACAUAUUUCCUGUUCACUUGAAACCCCUCAAAGUCCUAGGAUGGAGACCACAUACUGGGUAACACACAAUAGUCUGCAGAGGAAGCUCCUUCCCGUGGUGGGGCACAGCCAGGCUUUCAGC